UUCUAUUAGAAAUAAUUAAUAGUAAAAUCUGCUCAAUGAAAAUUAAAUAGCCGCAAUAGUGCUAAGGUAGCAUAAUAAUUUGUCUUUUAAUUAAAGACUAGAACAAACGAUUUAACAUUUCAAAUUAUAUCCUUAUUUAAUUAUUAAAAUUAUUUUAAAUAUAAAAAAAUAUUUAUAUUUUAAAAAGACGACAAGACCCUAUUGAACUUAACUUCAGUUUAACUGGGGAAGUUAAUUAAUUACAAUUUUAAUAUAAAAAACUAUUACUUCAUCUAUUAAAAUUAAUCCAAAACCAAGUUACCAUAGGGAUAACAGCAUAAUAUUAUUUCAAAGCUCUUAUAUAUAAUAAUGAUUAUGACCUCGAUGUUGAUUUAAUUUUACUAAUAUGACGCAAUUGUUAAUUUAGUAAGUCUGUUCGACUUGUAAAAAAUU
rnacentral:rRNA from 1 species